rnacentral:rRNA from 1 species
AUUGAACGCUGGCGGCAUGCCUUACACAUGCCAGUCGAACGGCAGCGCGGACUUCGGUCUGGCGGCGAGUGGCGAACGGGUGAGUAAUACAUCGGAACGUACCCUGUUGUGGGGGAUAACUAGUCGAAAGAUUAGCUAAUACCGCAUACGACCUGAGGGUGAAAGUGGGGGACCGCAAGGCCUCACGCAGCAGGAGCGGCCGAUGUCUGAUUAGCUAGUUGGUGGGGUAAAGGCCCACCAAGGCGACGAUCAGUAGCUAGUCUGAGAGGACGAUCAGCCACACUGGGACUGAGACACGGCCCAGACUCCCACGGGAGGCAGCAGUGGGGAAUUUUGGACAAUGGGGGCAACCCUGAUCCAGCAAUGCCGCGUGUGUGAAGAAGGCCUUCGGGUUGUAAAGCACUUUUGUCCGGAAAGAAAUCGCGCUGGUUAAUACCUGGCGUGGAUGACGGUACCGGAAGAAUAAGCACCGGCUAACUACGUG